UCAUCCUAUCCUCUUGACCCUGUUAUAGAAAAACUACCGAUAAAGACUAGAGUCUUUACCAUAGAUUAUCCUAUACCUAGUUUUAUCUUUUGGUUAUCUUCUUUUUAUAAUGGAUGUUGUAUUAUUUGAAUAGCCUCAUUUUGUAAGCAAUAUAAAUCUAUACUGAAGCUAAUGAUUCAUGCCUAUUUUCCUUUCCUUAUCUUCUUUGUCUCCUUGUGUCUUAUUGUGAAUAUUACACG
rnacentral:lncRNA from 1 species